GCCAGCCCUGUUUCAAAUGGAAGAAGUGAAUUUGGAGUUCAUGCGUAUUACAACCAUUCCUUUAAUCUCAAAAUUUAUUGGACAACUGGACAAAUACACUGAGGACUUGUUUAAGGUUUUCUGUCAAAAAGGAGGAUGUGCAGGACAAAAAAUCCGUUAAGAAAUGGAAAACACUAGAAUUGAAAACAUACAUUUCAAGCGUGAUUGUAUCCUGAGGUGCCUGAGCAUCUACCUUAAUGA